UUUACAACUUCUUCGAUAAGUUCCAUUUGAAGGGCGUCUAGUUUGGUAACGAGCUAGAGAAUGACUGGGUGAAUUGCUGGGACUUCCUAAAGCUUUAUCCACCACAGCGUAAUGAGAAAUCGUAAGCGCGAUGGUUUGAAAAGGGUAAGGAUAUGACAAUGGAUAAUCAGCAGCCAAGCUCCUGUGAGGAAACUCAGGAGAAGGUUCAACGACUAGAGAAGACGGUCUAAGGCAAAAAGCUAUGGCUAUGAAUCUCGUAGGGCAGCAAAAGCUGUUCGAAGUGCCCAGCCCCUGUGACAAGCAGGGUGAAGAUAUAGUCUAUUCUAUGAUCGAAAGACAUAG
rnacentral:ncRNA from 1 species